UACGGGGGGAGCAAGCGUUGUUCGGAUUUACUGGGCGUAAAGGGCGCGUAGGCGGCCACCGCAAGUCGACUGUGAAAUCUCCGGGCUUAACUCGGAAAGGUCAGCCGAUACUGCGGGGCUAGAGUGCAGAAGGGGCAACUGGAAUUCUCGGUGUAGCGGUGAAAUGCGUAGAUAUCGAGAGGAACACCUGCGGCGAAGGCGGGUUGCUGGGCUGACACUGACGCUGAAGCGCGAAAGCUAGGGGAGCGAACGGG
rnacentral:rRNA from 1 species